UCAUGGCUCAGGAUGAACGCUAGCGGGAGGCCUAACACAUGCAAGCCGAGCGGUAGAGAUUCUUCGGAAUCUUGAGAGCGGCGUACGGGUGACGGAACACGUGUGCAACCUACCUUUAUCUGGAGGAUAGCCUUUCGAAAGGAAGAUUAAUACUCCAUAAUAUAUUGAUUGGCAUCAAUUGAUAUUGAAAGCUCCGGCGGAUAGAGAUGGGCACGCGCAAGAUUAGUUAGUUGGUGAGGUAACGGCUCACCAAGACGAUGAUCUUUAGGGGCCUGAGAGGGUGAUCCCCCACACUGGUACUGAGACACGGACCAGACUCCUACGGGAGGCAGCAGUGAGGAAUAUUGGUCAAUGGGUGCAAGCCUGAACCAGCCAUCCCGCGUGAAGGACGACUGCCCUAUGGGUUGUAAACUUCUUUUGUAUAGGGAUAAACCUACCCUCGUGAGGGUAGCUGAAGGUACUAUACGAAUAAGCACCGGCUAACUCCGUG
rnacentral:rRNA from 1 species